rnacentral:vault_RNA from 1 species
AGGUCAGCUUAGUCCAUUGGAUACUUCGUACUUUCUCGAGCGAAAUUGGUUCUACGAAGGUUUGACAAACACACAAGUCAAACAAUUCCAUUCUGGUUCGAAUCCGGGGCAUGAGAUAAAACUCCAAAGACGCCAUCUGACCUGUUU